rnacentral:rRNA from 1 species
CCUACGGGCGGCUGCAGUGGGGAAUAUUGGACAAUGGGGGCAACCCUGAUCCAGCCAUGCCGCGUGUGUGAAGAAGGCCCUCGGGUUGUAAAGCACUUUCAGUGAGGAAGAACGCCUGGUGGUUAAUACCCAUCAGGAAAGACAUCACUCACAGAAGAAGCACCGGCUAACUCCGUGCCAGCAGCCGCGGUAAUACGGAGGGUGCGAGCGUUAAUCGGAAUUACUGGGCGUAAAGCGCGCGUAGGUGGCUUGAUAAGCCGGUUGUGAAAGCCCCGGGCUCAACCUGGGAACGGCAUCCGGAACUGUCAAGCUAGAGUGCAGGAGAGGAAGGUAGAAUUCCCGGUGUAGCGGUGAAAUGCGUAGCGCUCGGGAGGAAUACCAGUGGCGAAGGCGGCCUUCUGGACUGACACUGACACUGAGGUGCGAAAGCGUGGGUGGCAAACAGGAUUAGAUACCCGGGUAGUC